GGCUUAGAGUUUGAUCAUGGCUCAGGAUGGACGCUAGCUACAGGCUUAACACAUGCAAGUCGAGGGGCAGCAUGAUUGAAGCUUGCUUCAAUUGAUGGCGACCGGCGCACGGGUGAGUAACACGUAUCCAACCUGCCGAUGACUCUGGGAUAGCCUUUCGAAAGAAAGAUUAAUACCGGAUGGCAUAAUUCUUCCGCAUGGUAGAAUUAUUAAAGAAUUUCGGUCGUCGAUGGGGAUGCGUUCCAUUAGGUUGUUGGCGGGGUAACGGCCCACCAAGCCAUCGAUGGAUAGGGGUUCUGAGAGGAAGGUCCCCCACAUUGGAACUGAGACACGGUCCAAACUCCUACGGGAGGCAGCAGUGAGGAAUAUUGGUCAAUGGACGAGAGUCUGAACCAGCCAAGUAGCGUGAAGGAUGACUGCCCUAUGGGUUGUAAACUUCUUUUAUACGGGAAUAAAGUGCAGUAUGCAUACUGUUUUGUAUGUACCGUAUGAAUAAGGAUCGGCUAACUCCGUGCCAGCAGCCGCGGUAAUACGGAGGAUCCGAGCGUUAUCCGGAUUUAUUGGGUUUAAAGGGAGCGUAGGCGGAUGCUUAAGUCAGUUGUGAAAGUUUGCGGCUCAACCGUAAAAUUGCAGUUGAUACUGGGUGUCUUGAGUACAGUAGAGGCAGGCGGAAUUCGUGGUGUAGCGGUGAAAUGCUUAGAUAUCACGAAGAACUCCGAUUGCGAAGGCAGCCUGCUGGACUGUAACUGACGCUGAUGCUCGAAAGUGUGGGUAUCAAACAGGAUUAGAUACCCUGGUAGUCCACACAGUAAACGAUGAAUACUCGCUGUUUGCGAUAUACAGUAAGCGGCCAAGCGAAAGCGUUAAGUAUUCCA
rnacentral:rRNA from 1 species